AUUCCAGCUCCAAUAGCGUAUAUUAAAGUUGUUGCAGUUAAAAAGCUCGUAGUUGGAUUUCUGGUAGGAGCGACCGGUCCGCCCUGUUAAGGGUGUGUACUAGCGUUGUCUCUGGCCAUCCUUGGGGGAACUGCGCGGGGAGACUUGCGUUAGGGAACCCAUCGUUUACUGUGAAAAAAUUAGAGUGUUUAAAGCAGGCUUAUGCCGUUGAAUACAUUAGCAUGGAAUAAUAAGAUAGGACCGCGUGGUCGUCUUGUUGGUUUGCACCGCGAGGUAAUGAUUAAUAGGUACAGUUGGGGGUAUUCGUAUUUAAUUGUCAGAGGUGAAAUUCUUGGAUUUAUGAAAGACGAACUUCUGCGAAAGCAUUUACCAAGGAUGUUUUCAUCG
rnacentral:rRNA from 1 species